AGAAGAACUAGGAGUUCCGAUUUGCUAGCAUGAAAAAUAACUUUCCUGAAGUAACUAUUGUGUUUCCCUUUCUUACCAUAGUUUGGACACCUUUAAGCCCCUCGAAGCUGGUGAGAUUACGUCAGAAGACGGAGGUGACUAAAAUAUAAGGGAAAAAAAUAACUUCAGAGUGUCCCAGUUCCCCAGAGUAUCUGCCUAAUGGACCACGAACUGGAUGGGAGACUGCAGAAGGGCUGCUGUUCAAAAGCAGGAUGACUCCAAUGUAUGCCACCGUGAGGAUGCUUCCAGAGCCCUCAGUCAGUGAUUCAGCAGUGUGUGCCGAGCAUCCACUGGAAAAACACUACAGAAGAAUAAAAUAUUAUUUGAUGUCUAAUGGGGUCUUCCCUGGUUGCUUCUGGGGCUGCUGGCCUUGGGGAUCUCUGCUAACCUCCCCAGGAAACUAUCUGCGGGCAAGAGUUUCUCUUUUGAUGCAGUUGUGGUUUUGCAAGUCUGUCUCUUUAGGAUUCUGA
rnacentral:lncRNA from 1 species